ACGCACCAGUUGGCCCAGGAAGACUCGCCGCCAUAACUGCGCUAGGAUCCGUCGGCUAUUUAAACCCCUGGUCCUUUCAUGGCUUCAUCCUGGCGCCUUUCUUUUGCCUGAGAGCCUUGCUUCCCUCGCACCAGUCCUUGCCUUCUUCAGCCCCCCAAUUCUUCUCUGAGGGUUUCUACACCAUGUCCUCUACCCCGGAGGCUGUUCUUGAGGGGAUUUCUAGGGCU
rnacentral:lncRNA from 1 species